GACUCGAUCAGAUGAGGCCAUAUGGCCCAAGAUACUACCAAGCUGUAAGAUUAAAAUCCCACGACGAAUUCCAUUUGAGCCCAAGCAGAGGGUCAAAAUUCUUUAAAGCCUUAGAACUACCAUCAAGGAGACCCGACAUCCAGUUUGUAUCGUGCACAAAUGAUGGCUGAGUAGAAAAAGAUCAAAGCAAACCCAAAUAGCCAGUCACAAAAUGACCAUAUGUACAAUAUAUGAUCAAUGACAUGAUUUUGAAAGAAGAAAAAAUAAUUAAAUGUCCCGCUCUUGAAGAACUACACAUCAUAUGACUUUAAAUUCUUAAGUCUUAAGUUAACUUGAAAUGUUGGCAAUUAAACUUUAAUUAAACCUCACAUGAACAUAAUUGUAGGAUUUAAAACUGUGAACUUAAACAACUAAACAUGCUCGACUGACAUACAAACAAUUAUAAAUAGCAAUUGAAUCAUUUUUAACAUAAUUAUGCUACAUUAAAUUUUCCCCUAACAAUGACAGUUCCCCAAACCAUUAAGUUAAAGUCCAGCUUUCCAUGAGUCUCAAAAAAUCUUACUAAAGGGCAUUUAAAGUCCAUUCAAGAACAAAUACAAACGCAAAAAUGCUUGCAUGACUAAUUAUUCCUACUGAUCUCACAUAAGAAUCAGGCAUACAUAUCCAUACUACUUAUACCUACGAUUAUUGAAUAUACACAUCUUUAAAUGGGUAGGUGAAUAGCUUAAAUGACAUGUAGAACUACAUAUCUAUUUCAUAAUACUAAAAUAGCAGGAGGAACAAAAGUAGUUAAGUCCAAUGCAGCCUGUAUUCAACCAAACUUUCAAUUUAUGUGUUCAACAAUCAACUAGUUACUCAUGGGCGAAAAAGGUACAUGGGAAGUAAAAAGAACAAGAAACAGAUAGAUCAGCAGCAGGCAGUCUCAAGAACAGUGGUCUGCCGCAGAGAUAAACUAGAGAACCAACUUUAAACCAAGGAAUGAUGUGCAAUAAUCAGCCAAAAUCAACCAGAACUUCAAACCAAACUUUUUCUAAAAAAAACUCAAUCCAUUUUUGGAUCCAUGAUGAAUCAGAAGAUGUUUCAAGAUUAGAAAAUUUCAUAAAAUCACCAAAGAAAACCAAUGGAACAGUGUUUCACUAGAAUUUUUUAGCCAUUUGUUUCAUUUCUGGAUUUUCUCUCUUAAGGUCUCUAAGUUCUGCCUUGAAAUGCAAGGAAGAUAUGCCUUUAUAGGCAAAGAAGUAUGGCAGCCUAGAAAUGUUCAAUUUUGCAGUUAAGCCAUUUUUGAAUUUUCUUUUUUGCUUAGCAGUCCUUAAAUUACUGACUUGUUGGACAAAUAAAGCUAUUUUCAGCUUCUAAUAAGCUUCCUAAGGUAUUUAACAAAAGAUUCCCUAAGUAGACUACCCAAUUUACCCUUAGUUACCCCUAAAAUUUACCUUGACGGAGCAACCUGGGUCAGAUUGACCCAAGGCAAAUCAAACCUGGGCCUUUAACCAAAUUAGGAUUAAUCCCUUUCUUUGGGUAUUGAUUUCCCACGUCCCAAUUCACAAUCAAAGAUUUCCAAUUUCGACAUCCACAAUUGAAACUAAUCAAAGUUUUCUCCAAAAGGAGGCCUGGAAACAUUAAAAUGCAAUCAAAACAAAAGAAAGAAAAGUGAACUAAUUAACCUAACAACAACAGUACAUUUAACUAAUCUAUUGGCUUAACAAAAUCAUGCAAUUUUAAUCAAUCAGAAACUAAACAAUUAAACAGGACUGGAGAGCAAACUUGGAGAAACAAAGGAAACUGCGAGGACCAAAAGGGCCAAACUCGAAUUCAGCCAAAACUCUUGUCAACUUGCAGAUAAGAAAAGAAAGGAAAUAAGAAGGAACACCAAGUGAAUGAGACCAAAAACAGAGCAAAAAUGAGAUAGAGCUCGCCGACCAAACUUUGAAAUGGCGCUUGGAAUUUGACUCACACAAAAAUUGAUACCAGUCAUUUUUCUCCGUCAAGAAAGAGCGAGUGGCAUCAAAUUUUUAGUGAAUCAGCUUUCCAAAUGUGAGAAGAUCCAACCUCGGCCGAUGCAUGCCACUAAAUUCUACAACAACUAGUUUGUAAUUUUCUAGGGCUUGAACUUGGAUCUAAGAUUCGAGUGGUUCUGGGCCGAUUCGAAAGAAAAGAGUUUGUGUUGUGGAAAGAGGUGAGUAUGGUGGUAGUUUGGUGUUGGUUUGGGUGGUAUUGGAGGUGGCGCCUCCACCGGAGAACAUCGUGGCGGCGCUAGAGUUUCUGAAGUUUGAGGCCUUCUGGAUGGAUUUGGAGAAAAUGGUCAGGGAUUUGAGAUGAGGGGAACCUGGGGAUCAUUUGGUGUAAAAGUGAGGGUGAUGGGCCCGCCGUUUACCGCUGUGGGCAUUUCCCACGGGCGACGGACGGCGGUUCACGGUGGGGUUUGGCUGGGGUUAUCUGAGGGUGUGUUAGAGACGGUUUGGGGGGGGGGAGUGUUAGGACAUAUAAAUAUUUAUUGCAUCCCUAGUUCGGAACCGUUGGAUCUCAAUGAUCCAACGAUUGAGAUUGAACCUAUUCAAAAUAGGGGUCAUUUGGAUAGGUGGGGGUUCUAGGACUGGGUUUUGAUGGAUUUUGGGCUUGGUAUGG
rnacentral:lncRNA from 1 species